UACAGAGGGUGCAAGCGUUGCUCGGAAUUAUUGGGCGUAAAGGGUAGGUAGGUGGUCUCAUUUGUCUGGGGUGAAAUCCUUGGGCUUAACCCAAGAAGUGCCCCAGAAACGGUGAGACUGGAGUCCUGGAGAGGGUCGUGGAAUUCCCGGUGUAGCGGUGAAAUGCGUAGAGAUCGGGAGGAACACCAGAGGCGAAGGCGGCGACCUGGACAGGUACUGACACUCAAAUACGAAAGCGUGGGGAGCAAACAGG
rnacentral:rRNA from 1 species